rnacentral:rRNA from 1 species
CGGACGGGUGAGUAACGCGUGGAGAACCUGCCGUAUACUGGGGGAUAACACUUAGAAAUAGGUGCUAAUACCGCAUAAGCGCACAGCUUCGCAUGAAGCAGUGUGAAAAACUCCGGUGGUAUACGAUGGAUCCGCGUCUGAUUAGCUGGUUGGCGGGGUAACAGCCCACCAAGGCGACGAUCAGUAGCCGGCCUGAGAGGGUGAACGGCCACAUUGGGACUGAGACACGGCCCAAACUCCUACGGAAGGCAGCAG